CCUGCUUCCAGGAAAAGCCUCUAAGCAUCAGGUAACAUCAAAUCGUACCCCAAACCGACACAGGUGGUCAGGUAGAGAAUACCAAGGCGCUUGAGAGAACUCGGGUGAAGGAACUAGGCAAAAUGGUGCCGUAACUUCGGGAGAAGGCACGCUGAUAUGUAGGUGAAGUCCCUCGCGGAUGGAGCUGAAAUCAGUCGAAGAUACCAGCUGGCUGCAACUGUUUAUUAAAAACACAGCACUGUGCAAACACGAAAGUGGACGUAUACGGUGUGACGCCUGCCCGGUGCCGGAAGGUUAAUUGAUGGGGUUAGCGCAAGC
rnacentral:rRNA from 1 species